CCUACGGGAGGCAGCAGUCGGGAAUUUUGGGCAAUGGGCGAAAGCCUGACCCAGCAACGCCGCGUGAAGGAUGAAAUUUUUCGGAAUGUAAACUUCGAAACGAGAGUGGCGGUACUGUUUGUAAGCUCCGGCUAACUCCGUGCCAGCAGCCGCGGUAAUACGGGGGGAGCAAGCGUUGUUCGGAUUUACUGGGCGUAAAGGGCGCGUAGGCGGUCGGACAAGUCACUUGUGAAAUCUCCGGGCUUAACUCGGAACGGUCAAGUGAUACUGUCGGACUAGAGUACAGAAGGGGCAACUGGAAUUCUCGGUGUAGCGGUGAAAUGCGUAGAUAUCGAGAGGAACACCUGCGGCGAAGGCGGGUUGCUGGGCUGAACUGACGCUGAGGCGCGAAAGCCAGGGGAGCGAACGGGAUUAGAUACCCUUGUAGUC
rnacentral:rRNA from 1 species